GAGGAGAAGCGAGCAGUGAAUCCCAGGUCUGCCCACAGCACAGCUCAGGCAAGUCAGAGGCUCAGGCCAGCCAGACCCGCUGGGGCUCAUGGGGUUUAGAAAACUGGGGGUCUCACGGGAGGGGUAUGCUGAAGGGAAGCGACCUGUGUAACUUUACUCAUGUUCUUCACCUCGUUGCAGCUUUGCAAAGGAAAACUACGUCUGGCAUGCUGCCAGGCACCAGCCUAGCACCACCAACUGUCCAGUGGCAGGCCAGAGAACUUAAAAUGUCUUUGACAUGUCAGAUAUUAAAUUACAUCCACAACUAACCAUCAAGGAGCAGAGAGAGUUAGUUGUUACCCGAGGGACGGAAAGCUAGAAGCCAUGAGGGUAAGACAGCCAACAAGACGGAGAUCUCACCAGCCAGCCCUAUCCCACAGCACUCAGGUGAGAGAGCAAAGCAGCCCAGAGAUAGUUGCCAAGGUCAACCUGAGGUCUAGAUCAUCACACAGGCUCAUGGAGAUGAAGGUCAGGCUAGAAAGUCAAUUCACAGCAGAGCAGGGGAAGGAAAUCAGGUCAAACAGAGCCCAGUGAUCACAAGGGAGGCCGAUAAUGAUGAAGAAGGGCUGUACCCAAUUAACGGCAUCUAGUACAGACAAAACUGUUAGCCAAACUGCAGACUAGGCCUCCAAUUACAUAGCUCAGACAAAGAGAGAAAGCCCUGAGCUGUGCUUAAAUGGGGCUCCUGGGCCAGUGGGCAGGGUGUGGGGGAGGCCCCAGGUGAGGCUGGUCAGGCCCAAUAAGUAUCAACUGAGAUGCAGCUCAAGAAAAAGGAGAGCAGGGUAGGGGACAGAGAUGCCCUCAGCAGUACCAGGCACCCUGGAGGCUCUGCUUACUUCUUCAUGACCAUGUAUCGCAGGGAGUUGCCAAGCGUGUGGUCUUCGUCGUGCAGCACAAACGUGACGCAGUUUCCAUCUGUCCCAUCUGCCUGGACCUGCCACAAAUCGGGAAAGAAGAGGUGCUGUAAGGCUCCCUGAGGUACAGCAGCCCCCGGGGGCCUGGCUCAGCAGGGAGAUGAAGGCUGCUUUCUGCAAGAGAUCACCCAGACCCGCAGCGUGACUCCAGGGCAGGCUCCCCGCACGCCGGCUGUCAGAGAAGAGCAGAUGUGAUGCAGCACCGUGAUGAUGUAGGCCUGAUCUCUUUCCCCCUUGCCUCCCAGCAACUCGCAGCCCACCACCAAAGCAGGGAGUCUUACUGGUGAUUGAAACAAGGAGUGGCAGAAACACCUUCCCUUGGCACGGCACAGCGACCCUGCCUGCUGCCCUGCUCGCCAGACCCAGCUCCCUCCUCCUUCCCAGACACAGCUGCCAGCCUCAGUCCCUCCUGCUGCCGUGCUCUGCAAGGCAGUAUUUACUAAAACUAUUUGCCUCAAUUGUCCUCAAGAGCAUUUUUCCUAGGAUUGCAGGCUAACUCAGGAGGAAGCUGUCUGGCCCCUGUUUUGUCCCUGCAUUCAGUUGCACCCUAGCUCCAGUGAAGCCCUAUACGGGACAGAUGUGUUUUUUCAGGCUGAGAGCAAAUAUUUACGGCUGAGUUAUAAACGUUGCAUAGAAAUGACUUGAAAAAUAGGAUGCCUGGGGCUUGAGCACAGCUCUGGGAGCUGCACUGGCUUCAGAGUCCUUCUGAGAGCUUUAGUGUGCAGGAAGGGGAGGGAUGGGACAGGGCAGGACACAUCUCCUGUGUGGUGGCUGGGUCAGCAACAAGGUCAGCUGGGGCUGCAACAAGUGCCUAAGAGCAGCAACACAGCGAGCUCAGCUCUGCCUCCUCAGCACAGCACGAGUACCCAGCGCGUUGAUCUGGCACAGGAGAGGCAGAGCACGGCCGUUUCACAAAGAACACCUUGUGCUGAACCUGUCCGCUUCAGAGAUCUGUGGUUUUUUUUUUUUUUCUUUCUUUCUUUUUCCUGUGGAGCAUUCUCUGAUGCAGCCCUGCUGAGGUCCGAGACCGUAAAAGCCUCACCACUUCUCACCCGGCCACCGGCCUACCUAGCCAGGGAUCUUGCCUCUGGCACAGCCGCUGCCUGAGCCUUCGGGGGGAAAACGCAGCCCUUCCCCAGUACAGGACGGCUCCUCCCUGGUCCCCGCAGCAUCAGACCCGUGCCCCGCGGCAGAAGGCUGAGAUCUCUCCCGGGUGUUAAUCUAGAGGUGUCCUGGUAGUGCGCUGCCUGCUGCAGGAAGGCUUCUCCUCCUAAGAGCCAACCUGAUCUAAAAAAUAAUAAUAAUAAAAAAAAUAAUACAAAAACUCCUCCUGGGGUAGGGAAAUCCUGCUCUUCUGGAGCUUUCCCCUCUUCAGCUACGCACGGAUUCACCAGCGCUGCCACGGAGCCGUCCUCGUUCUUCUGCCCUGGUACAGGGAGAAGGAAAACCUGGGGAGAGCUUCAGGGCUGAUGGAGCCCCCCAGGGGACCAGAAGGAUGGAGAAGCCCCCACCUUUCCCCCGGGGUCACCGGGAACCAGCCUGCCCAGCCCCCGUGGCCCGGCUGUCCCCGUGCCCCACGUCCUGUCCCCGCGCCGCGCCCCCCGGC